AGUCUUCUGUAUCCGUGUUGGAAUUCGGUCACACACAAGGCCACAAAGCCUGACGGGACUACCAGGAUAAGUGAAGCA
rfam:Schistosoma haematobium scaffold6906_1, whole genome shotgun sequence.